ensembl:lncRNA
AUUUGGUGUACGCACUUUUGAUAAAUGAGGGACAUUGUCAUGUUCAAGAAACCAAUUUGAAAUGAUUCGAGCUUUGUGACAUGGUGCAUUAUCCUGCUGGAAGUAGCCAUCAGAGGAUGGGUACAUGGUGGUCAUAAAGGGAUGGACAUGGUCAGAGACAAUGCUCAGAAAUCGAGACUCAUCAGACCAGGCAACAUUCUUCCAGUCUUCAACUGUCCAAUUUUGCUGAGGAAAUGGCCCUUGAUUUGAACCAAGGAAGGCCUGUGAUGGAAGGAUCUGUAUGUAACAGGAUCCAGACGCAGUACAGUAUGACAGCCAGCCUGGCAACAUAGUAAGUAUGGG